UCCUUAUGCCCAACUGUGGUGACGCCCAACCAUAAAAUUAUGUUUGUUGUUACUUCAUAACUAUUAUUUGGCCACUGUUAGGAAUUGUUCUGUAAACAUCUGUGCUUCCCAAUGGUUUCUAGUGAGUCCGGUGAAGGGGUCUCGGCCCACGGCUUGAGAACCACUGUUGUAGCUGGUGGUCAUCACUCUGCUGAUUCUUUCCUCUGCUGUGAAGAGGCUUUGUGGUUUGGUAGACUCUCACCUGUCUGCUUUUGCUUUUUGUCCUGUGCCUUUAGGGACACAAUGAAGAACAACCUCUUUGUCAGCACCCAUGCCACAGUGGGUUGUCUUCUAGGGGAUCAUUAGUGUAGAUCAUGCAUAUUUUGGAGCCAGUGGAGAGAUGGGACAGAGAAGAUGGACAGAUGGGGAUUAAAAAGAAAGUUGGCAUUAUGAUUGAUGAAACUGAUGAGAAAACAUGGCUUUGAAUGUGGGCCAAGCAGUCUUAGUAACUCUUCAUCUGAACUAGAAAGCUUUGAACCAGCUGUCCAGGGGCUAGCCAAAUAACCACAAGUGGCUGCAGCCCAAGUCCAGUUCCUAUUCUCCAUGUUCUUUUUAAGAG